rnacentral:lncRNA from 1 species
AAUAAUAAGUAUAUAAAUCAGAAAGGGUAAAAUAAUAAUAAAGAUAAUGAUAUUAAAAUAAUUAAUUUAACAAUAAAAUAAGAAAAGGACUAAAUUGGAGUUUAAACGAAAAUCAGGGUAAAAAUCGAAAGUAAAAAAAUAAGGGAGAGGGCCCAAUUGAAAGGCGCGCAUAACCCAAAGGGACCAAAUGGGGAAAUAUCCCCGCCCUCCGAAACACACCAUUUUGCUAGGACUAAAUCAGAAACAAAAUAAAAUUUGAAGUAUCAAUUGUAAAAUAAAAAAAAACUGAAUUAAAAAAAUAAAAAAUGCUGAAGGGCUAAAUGCGCAAAUUGCCCACCGAAGCAAAACAAGCGGAUCCUUCUCUUGGGUCGGGUUGACACGCGGGUUGAAGGCCUUAUUACGCGUUGUUUUGGCCACUGGAGUUAAGGCUCAAAACAGUGUCGUUUCAGCCUUCUAUAAGACCAAUUCUUUUUUUGCAAAAUUUAAAUUCUCCUCCUUUCUUUAAAAAAUCGUAAAAACACUCUCAAAACCUACCUUCUUCACAGGAAUUCGAACAUGGCUUGGGUCGUCGGAUCACCGCGGCGGCCGCCGAUCGCCAGCGACGGUGCCAUCGCCCACGGCGGCCGAAAAAUCAAAAGAAGCUUAUUUUUUGAGUUUUUCAAUUUCCCAACUCAAAAAACACCGAUUUUCAUCAGAAUCGGUGAACCUCAUGCAAAAAGGUACGUUUUUUAUUCCCUUUUCCCUUUUUAUAUUUUUUUCUUCUAAAAAAACAAAUAAGAACGAAAGAGAAAAAAAAAUAGAAAAAAUAAGAAAAAUGAAACUACCUUUGAAAAUCUACUGAUU